AGCUGCAGCCAUGUUGAUUUAACUGCUUACACCUGUAUCUCUUCCAGCAAUGACACAUUUUCUGUGAGGAAGUUUCAGAUGCACCUCAUGCAAAAUUCAACAAAUGUUAUUCCUGGUAAAAGAGGGAACAGGGUAUCGAUGGUUCACUUGAAUUUCAUCGUGGAGAAACAUCUCUGCACCGAUAUUUUUGGGGGAUUUGUCGGCGUUCAGAAUCAGUUGGGACGCCCAGGCUGUAAAAGAAGGGGAUGAUUCUACUUCGACAUCAUUAAUCGGAUCAAAUUUACUGAAUGAAAGAAAACUCUAAAGAAGUGAUUGAGGCAUCAAACAUCAGGACCAGAAUCAGACUCUCUGUCCCUUUCCGUUCUGGACUCUCAGAUCCUCCUGAGAUCUUGCAGAUUCCCUCUGUGUGGGUGUAAACUCAGUGGUAAGAGUCACCACAUCACUCACCUUGUAGAAUCGGCUGCUGUCGGUGGAACUCCAGCGGAGCCACGAUGAAGCUGGUCUGACCGAGCGGGUUCCAGUGGUGCAGCACUCGCAGCGUCCACAGCCCCGGCCUCAGCGGCAGGGUGAGCGGCGGCCGGUAGUGGGUGACCUCGGCGGAGGCGUCCACCAGGAUGUCGUAAGUCGCUGCGAUGACGUUUGUGGGGUCGAUCCAUACGACGGUGGCGGUCAGGUUGGUCUGACUGCGGCUCCAGCGCUGCACGGCCACCGGCUCGUCCUCUGGACCCACGAGACCUCCCCAGUUCCUGAAGAGACGCUCCUUUGGAUCCCAGUCAAUCCCGACCUGAAGGACAGGUUUUUAAAACUUUAACCACAAACUGAACAUCAGAAGUGGAUGCAGCCUCUGGGAUUAAAAACAGCUCAUGUGCCUUUAAUCUGCAUUCUUUAAUCUGUCCACUAGGAGGAUAAAUAAAGUUCACCGGACCACAACAA